AACGAACGCUGGCGGCAGGCUUAACACAUGCAAGUCGAACGAAGUCUUCGGACUUAGUGGCGGACGGGUGAGUAACGCGUGGGAACGUGCCCCUUGGUACGGAAUAGUCCCGGGAAACUGGGUUUAAUACCGUAUAUUCUCUACGGAGGAAAGAUUUAUCGCCAAGGGAUCGGCCCGCGUUGGAUUAGGUAGUUGGUGGGGUAAUGGCCUACCAAGCCGACGAUCCAUAGCUGGUUUGAGAGGAUGAUCAGCCACACUGGGACUGAGACACGGCCCAGACUCCUACGGGAGGCAGCAGUGGGGAAUCUUAGACAAUGGGGGCAACCCUGAUCUAGCCAUGCCGCGUGAUCGAUGAAGGCCUUAGGGUUGUAAAGAUCUUUCGCUGGGGAAGAUAAUGACGGUACCCAGUAAAGAAGCCCCGGCUAACUCCGUGCCAGCAGCCGCGGUAAUACGGAGGGGGCUAGCGUUGUUCGGAAUUACUGGGCGUAAAGCGCGCGUAGGCGGAUUGGAAAGUUGGGGGUGAAAUCCCGGGGCUCAACCCCGGAACUGCCUCCAAAACUAUCAG
rnacentral:rRNA from 1 species